UACGUAGGGGGCAAGCGUUGUCCGGAAUCAUUGGGCGUAAAGCGCGUGUAGGCGGUUACGUAAGUCUGCUGUGAAAGUCGGAGGCUCAACCUUCGAAAGCCGGUGGAUACUGCGUGACUAGAGUACGGAAGAGGAGAGUGGAAUUCCCGGUGUAGCGGUGAAAUGUGUAGAGAUCGGGAGGAACACCGGUGGCGAAGGCGGGUCACUGGACCGGUACUGACGCUGAUGCGCGAAAGCGUGGGGAGCAAACAGG
rnacentral:rRNA from 1 species